UUGAUUAUUGUGAUGGGAAUUAUCUUUGUACCAUCUUAAAUUAGUUUGUUAAUCCAAAGUGGAGGAAGACAGCAAUAAAGUUAAUGCAAGUUUAAAACUGGGAAGACGGAGGGUAAGGGAUGUCUAUUAUAAAACAGAUUAUUACAUUGUGUUUCUUCUUAUACAUCCGUACAUUGCAUAGUUCUCAGUGAAACAUUGAAGAGCUUGCUAAGCUAACUUCUUACAAAUUCCAACAGAUUUUGAAGGGAGUAGGAAAAAAUCAUCCAAGUCUUUUGCGUCCUUAGAGCUACACUAAAGUAUAGAGUUUCAAAACAGAACACCAUUAUAUUUUCCACCUAUUCAUAACAUGGAGGUUGGGACUCCUAGGAGAGCCGUCUGUGGUUCCACAAACAUCAUCAUGUUUUUGGGGAGUGACUGUGGUUGUGGUUACAGAGCAAGAAGUCAAGAAGCCUUCCAGGCAGUGAUGGCUACUUCAGGUAUAACUACCAUUAGAGAGGAUGUGGAAUUUCUUUUAUCUUUGGGGAAGUUUUGAAAAGAUAGUCAAGGAAUUAGGAAUUUAAAAUUACAGGGAAAAAUAUGUAUGUGAAAAGCAAUAAAUAUUUUGUUCUCUUUGCUAUCAAGAUGUUCACACUCAGAUAUUUAUUAUACAGCAACAAUUUAUAUUUUUAAUCAUUGCCCAUUAAUAGACGCAGUGAAAUAUUUUUGAAUCAAAACAUUUGGGGUUUGUAUGUGCAUUUAAAUUGUCUUUUGUACUGUAUGUUACUGUUUAAUUUGAAUAUUUUAUCAGAACUGUCUCCCUGUGCCUUUAUAAUAUAAAGUUGUUUCUGCAACUUUUAAUGAUCUUAAUAAAGAAUACUUUAAGAACC
rnacentral:lncRNA from 1 species